UACGUAGGGUGCAAGCGUUGUCCGGAAUUAUUGGGCGUAAAGAGCUCGUAGGCGGUUCGUCGCGUCGGCUGUGAAAUCCCGAGGCUCAACCUCGGGUCUGCAGUCGAUACGGGCGGACUGGAGUUCGGCAGGGGAGACUGGAAUUCCUGGUGUAGCGGUGAAAUGCGCAGAUAUCGGGAGGAACACCGAUGGCGAAGGCAGGUCUCUGGGCCGAUACUGACGCUGAGGAGCGAAAGCGUGGGGAGCGAACAGG
rnacentral:rRNA from 1 species